rnacentral:sRNA from 1 species
UAUAUAGACAAUAUAGUGCGGUUGUGUAUAAAUAUCUCGUGCCAAGUGAUCCGUUUUAACAUUUGCACUUCAGAAAAUUAAAUGGAAAGCAAAAAAAUCAAACUCAUCCUUAUUUCCUUGACAUCGGUUAUUGUGUCUCUUCUUUUUAUGAAAGGAUAAUGGACAAUUGAGAUGUGAAUCUUUAAAGGCUGAAUGUUUCUUUUAGUGAUGAUCAAGAGGAAGAGCAUUUAGUGAGAUUUGUGCUCAAGUGUUGAGGCUGAGAAGUUGCAACCAUAAGUUGGAUAGUUUUUCGCUGACGCUUAAUGACGAAAUCGAUGGAGGAUUUGUAACUCGUUUGGUAGAUUAUCCAUUGGACAAUGGAAUAUAGUAGCCAACGCUUAGCAUAAUUGGUAUAGAAGGAAUUUUCCAAUUGAGUUCAAAAGUGUUUUUGUAAGCUACUCUUGUAAUUUUGAAGUAAGCAACUAACCGUUGUUUGAUUUGGAUAAAUGGAGAUGAUGAAGCUGUUAUUCAUCUUCCUUGUCAGAAGACCUUGUGGCUUGAAGACAUUCUAGUUGUUGAUGUUGACGUGUUUGUUAGUUUCUUAUCAGGUUGUCCAAUAUUAGAGGAGCUCGUGAUGAAAGAUAUGAAGUGGCAUAAAUGGUAAGCAUGAUUUGUAGUUAGCGCAAGUCUGAGAAAAUUGAAGAUAAUUUGGACUGGUUUUCUUCAGAUGAGUACGAUAAAUGUCCUCGGAAAUGAAACCUGAUGAAAUUUUAAAAUU